GGCUCGUUAGCUCAGUUGGUUAGAGCGCCGAACUGCAAACGGAGGACGCAGGUUCGAAUCCUGCACGAGCCC